rnacentral:rRNA from 1 species
AAUGACGCUCGGACAGGCAUGCCCCCCGGAAUACCAGGGGGCGCAAUGUGCGUUCAAAGACUCGAUGAUUCACUGAAUUCUGCAAUUCACAUUAGUUAUCGCAUUUCGCUGCGUUCUUCAUCGAUGCCGGAACCAAGAGAUCCGUUGUUGAAAGUUU